rnacentral:rRNA from 1 species
CCUACGGGAGGCAGCAGUGAGGAAUAUUGGUCAAUGGACGAGAGUCUGAACCAGCCAAGUAGCGUGAAGGAUGACUGCCCUAUGGGUUGUAAACUUCUUUUAUAUGGGAAUAAAAUGUUCCACGUGUGGGAUUUUGUAUGUACCAUAUGAAUAAGGAUCGGCUAACUCCGUGCCAGCAGCCGCGGUAAUACGGAGGAUCCGAGCGUUAUCCGGAUUUAUUGGGUUUAAAGGGAGCGUAGGUGGAUUGUUAAGUCAGUUGUGAAAGUUUGCGGCUCAACCGUAAAAUUGCAGUUGAAACUGGCAGUCUUGAGUACAGUAGAGGUGGGCGGAAUUCGUGGUGUAGCGGUGAAAUGCUUAGAUAUCACGAAGAACUCCGAUUGCGAAGGCAGCUCACUGGACUGCAACUGACACUGAGGCUCGAAAGCGUGGGUAUCGAACAGGAUUAGAUACCCCAGUAGUC